AUCCUAACCUGGCAGGGGAGGCACCAUGAUCACAUACGUGGUUUCCCCAGAGCCAGGUCCACCCAUCGCACUGCGGCUGUGCUGAUCUCUGCGAGCUCCCCAAAUGCGGGAGACUCAACUGCAUAAUAUGUGAUAGUGGGGGACUGCAUUUACACUUUUGCA
rfam:Tupaia chinensis contig81384, whole genome shotgun sequence.